UCCUGGUUAGAUAAACUGUAAUACUAUUAUAUUAUUAUUUAUUUUCACACAUGCGAAACAAACUAUGUAUUAGGCCACACCAAUUUGAUUCCUUGUUCGACGACCCGCCCGCACCUAUUUUUUUCAAAACAGAUUUUUUUUUAUUUUUUUUAUAUUCCCGCUUCCCGCAUCCGGAAAUGUAAUCAUGUCCAUUUCCCGCACCGUUUUUUUGUAAAUAUUAUAAAAAGAUAUCAACAUUUGUUUUUAAAAUCACAGUCUAACCUGUAUAUAACGAUUUUAAACAUAAAAGCACCCCACCACACUUUGUAAAUAUCUGUGAGAAUAUUUGUUUCAGCAUGAAACCUAUUUUUCCAAAGCAGGAGUGCUCCGUAUAAAUUUAUAACAGCGGAAAUACCUGUAAAGAACAAAAAAUUGGUUACUAUCCCCCUUACUUAUAUUCCCUAUCAAAAGAAUUUCGUUGUUAGAAUAAAG
rnacentral:lncRNA from 1 species